rnacentral:rRNA from 1 species
UACGUAGGGUGCGAGCGUUGUCCGGAAUUAUUGGGCGUAAAGAGCUUGUAGGUGGUUUGUCGCGUCUGCUGUGAAAAUCCGAGGCUCAACCUCGGACUUGCAGUGGAUACGGGCAGACUAGAGUGCUGUAGGGGAGACUGGAAUUCCUGGUGUAGCGGUGAAAUGCGUAGAUAUCUGGAAGAACACCAAUGGCGAAGGCAAUGUUCUGGCUCGUUUCUGACGCUCAGGUGCGAAAGCCAGGGGAGCGAACGGG